UAUUGGAUAUUGAAAAUGAAACUUUAGUUAUCGAGAUAUUCAAACUAAAGUUUCAUUUUCAAGGUCCAAUAGC